AGAGAGAGACAUGCGCGCAUAUCAAUAAGCGGAGGAAAAGAAACUAACAAGGAUUCCCUUAGUAACGGCGAGUGAAGCGGGAAGAGCUCAAAUUUGAAAUCUUCAAGGUUUUACCUUGACGAAUUGUAGUUUAAAGAAGUGUUUUCUGCUGAAGUUUUGGUAAAAGUUCUUUGGAAUAGGACAUCAUAGAGGGUGAGAAUCCCGUAUUUGACCAUUAUUUUCAGCUUUGUGAUACACUUUCAAAGAGUCGGAUUGUUUGGGAAUGCAGUUCAAAAUGGGUGGUAAAUUUCAUCUAAAGCUAAAUAUUGGCGAGAGACCGAUAGGCGAACAAGUACCGUGAGGGAAAGAUGAAAAGAACUUUGAAAAGAGAGUUAAACAGUACGUGAAAUUGUCAAAAGGGAAGCGUUUGACACCAGUGUUGUUUUCUCGAAAAUCAAUUAAAAAUGGCUCGAUUUUGUAUUGUUGAGACCUUAAAAGCUCACUGUACAUUUUUCGUGUCUUUUUUAAUGCACUUUUCGUUUAACAAGUCAACAUCAGUUUCUUUUGUUGUAAAAGGGUCAUUGGAAGGUGGCUUUCUUUUCGGAGAAAGUGUUUAUAGCCUUUGGCCUCUGCAAUCGAAGAGACUGAGGUCUGCAGCGUAGACUCUUCGGGGUUAGAUACAUUUGUGCUAAGUUAUAGCUUUUUAUAGACAACUUGUUGACUAUAAUUAGUCUUGUAGCUUACUCGCUUAUGCUAUUUUACCUACGCUUAGGAUGUUGAGUCGUAGAGCACGCA
rnacentral:rRNA from 1 species